CCUACGGGAGGCUGCAGUAAGGAAUAUUGGUCAAUGGACGCAAGUCUGAACCAGCCAUGCCGCGUGGAGGAUGAAGGUCCUCUGGAUUGUAAACUUCUUUUAUUUGGGAAGAAACUCCCGAUUUCCAUCGGGAUUGACGGUACCAGAUGAAUCAGCACCGGCUAACUCCGUGCCAGCAGCCGCGGUACUACGGUGGGUGCAAGCGUUACUCGGAUUAACUGGGUUUAAGGGGUGCGUAGAAGGCAGGGUUGAAAUCUCCGGGCUUAACCCGGAAACUGCCAUUGAUACUAUAUGUCUUGAAUACUCUGGAGGUGAGCGGAAUAUGUCAUGUAGCGGUGAAAUGCUUAGAUAUGACAUAGAACACCCAUUGCGAAGGCAGCUCACUACGGAAAUAUUGACGCUGAGGCACGAAAGCGUGGGGAUCAAACAGGAUUAGAUACCCGGGUAGUC
rnacentral:rRNA from 1 species